GACGAACGCUGGCGGCGUGCUUAACACAUGCAAGUCGAACGAAGUGGCGAACGGGUGAGUAACGCGUAAUCAACCUGCCCUUCAGAGGGGGACAACAGUUGGAACCGACUGCUAAUACCGCAAACUAACGCAGGGGUUGGCGUCUGAUUAGCUAGUUGGAGGGGUAACGGCCCACCAAGGCGAUGAUCAGUAGCCGGUCUGAGAGGAGGAACGGCCAAAAUGGGACUGAGACACGGCCCAGACUCCUACGGGAGGCAGCAGUGGGGGAUCUUCCGCAAUGGACGGAAGUCUGAAGGAGCAACGCCGCGGGAGUGAUGAAGGCCUUCGGGUUGUAAAGCUCUGUUAAUCGGGACGCGGUACCGGAAUAGAAAGCCACGGCUAACUACGUGCCAGCAGCCGCGGUAAUUC
rnacentral:rRNA from 1 species